rnacentral:lncRNA from 1 species
GCUGCUGAGGAAGCUAAUUGCGAUACAUCCUGCGGUUAAGUUACUAUCUUUCUCCAUGACUGAAGAUCAUAAUUUUAUCUUCAGGCUGGGGGAAGGAGACUGACAAGGCCCCACAGAUGGGAUUCAGUUAAUGUAUGUGGGUGACCCUGACAGAGACAUCUGUUCUACAUGGCUCUCCACCUUGGCCACAGUUCAGUUUCCACUGACUUCCAUGAACUCCAUUAUGAAACCCAAGUGCGAGCCUUUCUUUGCACCGGGAGCAGCCCGUGACUCCUGAACGCAGACCUGCAGCCUCUGGAUGCCCUCGGCCUCCUCUUCGGAAACACACAGCUCUGUGGAGCAGUGACCACCUUGAGCAAAGCGCACCUCCUCCUCCAGCUUGUCCCUCCCCUGCUGAUUGACAGUCACGAGCCCUUGAAGCCAUGUAUGUUAUGGUAGCUUAAAAAUAGGGAAAGCUGAGACAAAGAGCUUUAUCGGCUCCAAAAGCCAGACAGCGCUGAUGCUUACCCUGCCUGAUGUAGUCUUUGCCAGUUGCUAAACAGCUAAAAUGAUCCAUGGUGAUCAAAGGGCAGGACCUGAAACAAGAACUUGACAUCUGACAUUUGCCAGUCCUCUUCAUGAAACGGCUGGCCCGUAGGCAGAAGCUCCUGUCUGCGCGUGCCUGCUGGAUCCCCUGCAACAAACCAUUCUGGCCUGACAGUUGUAAUAAUAAAUAUCAUAACUGGGCUGACA